rnacentral:rRNA from 1 species
UACAGAGGUGGCAAGCGUUGUUCGGAAUUACUGGGCGUAAAGGGCGCGUAGGCGGUCUUCUAAGUCUUGUGUGAAAUCCCUCGGCUCAACUGAGGAACUGCACGGGAUACUGGAAGACUUGAGUUCGGGAGAGGGAAGCGGAAUUCCGGGUGUAGCGGUGAAAUGCGUAGAUAUCGUAAGGAAGACCAGUGGCGAAGGCGGGUCUCUGGACAGUUCCUGACGCUGAGGCACGAAGGUCAGGGGGAGCAAACGGG